GGUGGCAUGGAGGACUUCAUUCACACAUGAAAUUCUUUCAUGAUAAGGUAGUAAACUAAUUAAAUCCAUACCUAAUCCAAUUAGGUCAAAGGCAACAGGUUAAGCUUAGCUCAAACACUUUGAACUAACCUAAUUGGGAACUUGGGUUAAGACAAUAUACUAGCAUAUCAAAUUAAUCCAUAGAAUUUAUAACAAAUCCUAAUUAGAUCAAAUCAAGAUCA
rnacentral:lncRNA from 1 species